UACGGGGGGAGCAAGCGUUGUUCGGAUUUACUGGGCGUAAAGGGCGCGUAGGCGGUCAGCACAAGUCAGUUGUGAAAUCUCCGGGCUUAACUCGGAAAGGUCAACUGAUACUGUGCGACUAGAGUGCAGAAGGGGCAACUGGAAUUCUCGGUGUAGCGGUGAAAUGCGUAGAUAUCGAGAGGAACACCUGCGGCGAAGGCGGUUACCUGGACAGUUACUGACGCUCAGGCACGAAAGCAUGGGGAGCAAAAGGG
rnacentral:rRNA from 1 species